GGCUUGUUAGCUCAGUUGGUUCAGCGCCGUUGCUAAUACGCGGAGGUCAUGAGUUCGAUCCUCUUACGAGCCA
rnacentral:tRNA from 1 species